AAACGGGUGAUUUUCGAGUUAAAUCUGGGAUUUUUGAAGGGAAAAUGGGUGAUUUUCCCUUAAAUGGGGGGUUUUUGAGGAGAAAAUGCGUGAUUUUCCAAAUAAUUGGGGAUUUUUGAAGGGAAAAGGGGUGAUUUUCGAGUUAAAUCUCAAAUUUUUGAAGGGAAAAUGGGUGAUUUUGAGGUUAAAUGGGAGAUUUUUGAAGAGAAAACGGGUGAUUUCCGCUUAA
rnacentral:lncRNA from 7 species